rnacentral:lncRNA from 1 species
GUACAGAAGAACUCCUUGCUGAAAUGCAACUAUCUCUGGGGUGGAGCGCUACUCUUUGACUCCUCUGCAGAAGCAAAACGGAUCUGUAGACAAAGAUGCAAAAUCACAAUGGGAUGAAGAGUGAACUUGGGAGUGAACUCUCUGGGAAGUACAUAAGAGGGAUCAGAGCUCAUUGCACGUGAACUGAACAGCAUUGAAGGAAUAAAACAACUUACAAGCUACAUCAGUCCUGGAAAACAAAAGCAUUUUACAAAAGAUUUCCUCUUGUUUGAGUUGUGAUGUCCAACUGUGAUCGAUAAUCACUUCUUAUCCUGGUUGUUUUGUUGCUUCUGAGACAUGAAGUUUUCACUUUGAGCUUGGUUAAAGAGCCAAAUGAGGGGAUGCAGCUGUGUCCAAAUUAACCCUUAGCUCAGCAGUAGAGUUUUCUCAGGCUGCUUUGAGAAGAAAAACAUAGUUAAAACAACAAAAAGUUUUCACUUUUGCCUCAGGGGCUGGAAACCUAUUUUUCAGGCAGCUUAACUUCUGUCAUUCUCAGUGCGUCUCUUCAAAUUAGCUGCAGACAGUGAAAUAAAUAGGAAAUAUUGCCCGAGAGUCCUUGGUUUUGUCAGAAAGGACUUUGAAAAAGUAGAGGAGAAGAAAAAGGGAGCCUGAAUCAUGAAGGCCUGCCGUGUCUUUUUGCUGAUACGAAAUCAAAACUGACUGAGGUUAUGGUCAUUCAAUUAUUACAAAAACCCGUGUACAAGAAAACCUGUAAUUUGAUGAUGCUGGGUUAAACAUUCUGGACAAGACGCAGUGUGAUCUUCCUCAUGUUUGAAUUCUAAGUUUCAGCAAAGGAAAAAUAAUGCCAGGGUUCCUUGCAUGUGUGCACUUUGCUUUCUCAACAGAAAGAAAAAGAGAAAACAAAAGUGGAGGAGGUGUUCAAGAACUGUGGGGAUGUGGCACUGAGGAACAUGGUCAGUGGGCAUGGUGGGUUGGAUGGGGGUUGGACUGGGUGAGCCUAGAGGUCUUUUCCAACCUUCGUUAUUCAAAAUGGAGGAAAAUAAAGUGGAUCCUGGUGCUUGUGGUUGUUUUCAUUGCAAAGAAAACGACGUCUUUCUCAAAAUAAGAUAUACAUUGUUGUUAUUAUUUAUUGCAGUACCAGCCCCUUUUUGACAAUAGCCACUCUGGAAAUGUGCGUCUUCCCUGAAGUUAUGCUGGGAAUUGUAUAUUCCAUCAUUUCUGUGGGUAUCUGAGCCCUUUCUUUGAUGUUUUCCUUUCUUUUCCCAAAGUGCCAGCCUGCAAGGGUAUUUUCUGGGUAGAGCAAAGCUUGUGGUAGGCAGCCCCAUGUAUUCAACCAGAACUGCUAUAAAUGUCUUCUCCCUUUGUUGUCACUGCUCUAACACAGAGCGCUCACCGCUUUAUGCUGCUUCUCUG